rnacentral:lncRNA from 1 species
AGACUGACGAGGCUCCCGCCUGGGCCUGUAGAUGUGUGAGGGAGCUCGUGUUUCAUCUCUCUCUAGACACAAACAAUAACUCUAUUGUUUUCCAGAGUUAUUCAACACAAACAAAUAAAUAUUGUUUGAAUUCUAGAAUUUAAUAUAUAUAUAUAUUUAAUGAUUGGUUUCUCCAUAUCUACCUGUCUCUCUCUCUCUCUCUCUAUAUGGUUAUCAAUAUAGUUUUAAUUCUAUCAAUGUUAAAUUGCUGUUUUUAGCUGUACGCGGUCUUGAGUCCCCACCAGGGGGGAAAAAGCAAAGUGCACACAAAUGUUUGUUGUUUAUUUAUUUAUUUUAUGUGAUAAAGUUUGUAUACUACCAUUCCCACAGAUUUCCAUCCCGCAUGGUGGGGGAGAGUGGGCUGGGGAGGCUGCUUUGGGCUUCCCUCAUGGGGAAUAUGUCCCAGCCCAAUGUCCCCCUUGAGCACUAGAGGGGAUGGGAUGGAAUCAGGACCGCCCAUCGGCCAGUUAGGAAGCAACUUAGGGGUGCAUACAUAUGACAACACCCUCUCCCAUACUUGUAGCUGGAAAAUAAAAUGGGAAAAGCAACACCGUCUGUUUCUCUAUUCCACUCUCUGACAUGAGAUAUUCAAGGGUAAAAACUGAAAACUGGACUUGAACCAACAUGAUUACUCUUGCCUCUCAGAAGAGCCUGCUCUAAUGAGCAGAACAAGUUCACCACUCUGGCAGAUGCUGUGCUGAAAACAGAGCAUCUGCCUUUUCUAAUCAUUACUUGACAGUCUAGGCUUAUACAAUCAUCGUUUUGUUCCAUGAGGCUCUCAAACGUGUCACAUACCAAACAUCAAUCUUUUUUUGGUGGUUGUGGCAGAGAAAUUCCACUUGUUCAGAUUACUUUGGCCAAUAUGUUGUUUUCCUGCUAAAUUUUUUUUUUUUAAAAAAUAUCUGAACACAUACUGAGAAAAAAACCUGCAGAUUUACAUUCCAUCCUAACAGAAUUUCAGAGCAACAGGUGUAUCAUACUUGUGAGGCAGAUGGGCUAUGAAAUGAAAAAUCUUAAUCUACUGAGGAAGAGAAAAAGACAGAACAGUGUAAUCAUGGCCAUGUUACCUAUUUGUGUAAUAUCCUCCAAACCAAAGCCCACAUUGCCCCAUGUCCUUAACAACUAUUUGUGAUGAGACAUACAGAAACGAGGUGCUAAUUAUAUUGGCUUCCCUGCUUGCAUUUCAUAACUCCAUUAGUGUCUACAAACAUUAGACCACCUGUACACUGUUUCUCAUCCGCAUGUGUGAAGAACCCCCACCCACACCAUGUUUUGGAGAGAAGACAAGUAAGGAAAGAUGCAACACUCUUUCUCCUGCCAGUUUCCAUGUCAGCAACCACCCUCCUUCCCCUCUCCAAAUACUAAAGCAUAACCAUAUAGCCACUUGGGUUUGCUAUUAUCGGCCUUAUAAUCCUCCCUUAACUUUGUACAUGAGAGCCUUCAGUAACUGUAGUAAAACAAAAUGUUGUUUUACUUUUUCAGUAAAAGUUCUUUUUUCUGGGAGCACUCUUGUGUUUGUUGUUCCCCUGGAUGCCUUGCAAGGCUUUCCACCUCCCAGACAUCCCUAAGUUACACAUCCUGUGUAGAGGUAGUUUCAUAAAUGUGCUAGUUUCUGGGCCAGCUCCACUAGACAGAUGGCAGCCUGUCCUCCAGCAAUAUAAAGACAAGCGUGCAGUGGAGAAAGGUUCCCUUAGCACUGGGUCAGAUCCCACCCCUGUGCUAUUUGUGUUGCAGAAGGACUUAUUUGCUGAAGGUGGAGAAGAGUUUGCAGAUGUGCAUAGAACAUUUCUGGAGCCAGCACUGUAACACCUUUGAGAUUUACCUCUGAGGCAUUCACUGUAACAUCAUUUUGGGAGGCUGUCCUGCUGUGUCCCUUCAGCACUCGCCAGCCUCAAAAAGGAUCAUGGUGCUGGUAUUGAAUGAGGCAUAAAAGCUUCUUAAAAUAAAAAAUCAUGAUUACAAAAUGGUGGCAGAAAAGCUUGACUUAAAACUGAAUACACCUACCAUUCAGCACCAAAGGUUGAACUUUCAUAAAUGAAAGUCUACUUCGCUUUUAUCAUGAGGUUUUUGUGAUAUCUAGAUUCCAAGAAGUAAUGAUGUUCCAUUACUGUCUUACUCAGAGUUAAAUAUGAAGCAGCAAAAUUAGGCCAAAUUACUGCCAGCUUUCUGAUUUAUGCAUUUUCAUACUGUCAAAAUGGCCCAAACUCCACUAAACCACUUCUAAUUUUUACAACAUAAUUCAUAAGUGUUAUAAAAGAUUAUCUCAUUAUUUAAAAGUUUACACAGAAACUAUGAGUUAAAUUGGUUUCCUUUAAACUUCACACAGACUUUUAAAAUUAUUAGGAAGAGAGUCCCCCCCCCCCCCGAAAUAAUUUAUCUCGCACAUGUACCAAAUCUAUACAUAUCUCAAAUAUGCAGAAAAAGGAUGCAGCAGCAGAGGCAGGCAUUUUAAUGAAACUUUGGUACAGUAUCUCAAUUUGUAGAACAUUGCUACGGAUUUCUCCUUUUGCAGAAUGCAUGCCAAGAAUUGGUCAACCUUGUGACAACUAAGAAUUUAUAUACAAAAGCAUCUGAGAAGCUUUAAAAAGAUAUAGCCUGAGGCAUGUUCUGCUUCAUGUAGUGUCAGGAAAAAAUUAUACAAAGCUGCUUUUAAAUAAGCAGAAACUAAACUGAUGUUUGGCACUGACACUCUAACAGGAGGGAACAGUGAUUCCUAAUUCUUUUAUCUUUUAGUUUUGCUUACUUUAUGCUGAAGUUAUUCAUACUUGCACUCUUGAGGCCUACAUAGUUUCAAGCCUUCUUGGUUUGGUUUCAUCUGUGGUAUGCAUGCACACACUCCUACCCAUCUAGAUUCUGGCAUGGGAAAAGGCAACGUAAUCAGAAUGGUCCCAACCAAUUCAGUGCUGCAAUGAUGUAGGACAGAACCACAGGUAAAAUUUAUCUAAAUAUUUUGGUUCCGACUUUUCACUCCCAUAGAUCCCCAGGGUGAUUUCCAAGUUAACAAUGCAAUCCAAUGCCUGUCUUCAGAAGUAAUUCCCAGUGACUUUAAUGGGUUUUCUCUCAUAUAAGUGUGUACAGUAUAGAAUUGCACCAUUAAACAUAGAAAUACAAUAAAAAUAACAGCAAUACAACACAAAUGAGUAUAAGAUCAAUUAAAAAACCAUAAAAUAAAAAUGGGCCAGUAAAUAUGAGAGAGAGAGAAAGAGCAUAAAAAGACAAAAGGCUGUGUAGCUGUUGCAAUAUAGCUAAUAUGGAAAUCAGGUCACAAAUGCUUUUAAUACACUAGCUUCCAAUAUAAUAAAAUUAGGGGAAGAUCAAAAUAAUGAGUGCCACAAACUGCUGACCAAAACAAGUGUGCCAUAGGUGUGUAAAGAUGGCAGUUAUAAAGUGUGCCAGUCAUGCCUGUGGCUUGAGAUGACUUGGUCUUCCCUUGCCAGCAGGACUGUGCUACGGUUUGGACAUCUGUAUGAUAGAACUCACUUCUGUGUGCUUAUUCUUGGAGCACCUUGGUCUGCAAUUGAUCCAAAUGUGUUUCUAAUUCUUGGAGCAUUCUCACAGGAGGUUUACAUCACUUUCAAGCCUGCCUGUGCUUUUUAUGUGAUUGUCAUCAUUGCUAAAUCUAUAGAGAAAUCUGUAAUUUGAAUAGACGGUAUAGGCAGUGAAGGUUGUACAGUAAUACAGUAUUACGAAGCAAUCUCUUUGUGGGGUGGGGGGGAAUAAAGGAAACAACGGAACACUUUAACUCUUGUGUGAAAAUGAGAUGACAUCUGAUGGCUGGAAGCCAUGGUGCCCCUGGAGCAGCAAAACUGGAUGCCUUCAUCUGUCCCACUUGCAAUAAAACAUGUCUCUCCCAUAUAGGUCUCUGCAGCCUCAGCAGACACUGUAACCCUCCAGUGGUUUGGCUUUACCCUCGAAAGUGCACCCCUCCAUAGUCUCCCAAGACAGGCAGAUGCCAACAACAUCUGAUUAAAGAAAUCUUAACUAAUUAAAUGUAUAAGUUACCAGUAAUUGAUUGACCAAUCAUGUAUGUACAGUAUAUGGGGGGAGGGUUCCAAAGGAGAAAAAUGUUUUAGAUUCUGUAUGCAUGUGUCACAGCUAGCAUAAUGUUGGAAAAGCAAUUUCCUUCAUGUGAGAGAGGAGGAAUUCCUUUUUCUGGUAUGCUGCAUGCUUUAAAAAACCACAAAACCUGCGGACCAAUUAAUUAGAGGCAAAUGAGUGCCCUCUUAAAUGUCUGUGCACAAGAAGCACAGGGUUUUGUUACGUAUUUCCAUCAUUUCCAAGGCUGGAGUGCCAAUAUGGUCCGGUAUAACUGAAGUGACAUACAUAGCCACAUUAGCAUCAGGAUUAUAUUUCUCAAAAUAAGCACACACACACACCCGGUCAC